rnacentral:lncRNA from 1 species
AUGGAGCAGGAUACACCUUCGGCUCAAAUGCGGUGGGCUGUGGUGGGGCCUCCUGGAGGGCUUCCUGGAGGAGGUGCCUGGGAGGGAGGAGUUGCUCCAGGCGGUGGGAGGAGCCGCUCUGCUGUUUACAACCUUCUUCUCCCCUACUGGUCUAGGUCUCUGAUCCCAGCCGCUCUGCUCUGCGGGGUUACUGCGGGGAGGAAGGGGAGGGGAGAGGAGGGACGGCCUCCCACUGGCCUGGGGUGGGAGGGCCCUGGUCCCUGGGUCACCGCCUGCUGGGACCUGAUUUCCCUGACACCUGGAGUGCCGAGUCAGCUGGGCAGACUGAGGAGCCGACCAGGCAGUACCCAGGUUGACCUGCAUCCUGCCAUGGGAAAGGCAGGCUCCCGUGCUCGGUUCCUUUGUCCAGACCCUUGCCUGACCUCAGGACAUCCAGGAGAAUCUUGCCAAAGUCCUGAGGAGGAGUUGGCGGAGGCCAGGCUUUGUGGGUCUGAAGUGAUGUUCUCUAAAGACCUCACACAUGUACGCUCCACUUGGGGGUGCUUCGGGGGUCUUCAUGCGCGGAGCCUGGUCCCAGAGCAGAAGGCAAGACCGACCGGGGCCCUGAGCCCUGGGGCCGACAUCGUUGAGGUGAGCUGGGUGGCAAGCAGGACCCAGGGUGCCUGGGGAAGGGUCUGGUGAAGUAGUUUCCCCAGAGAGGCCAGGAGCCAAGCCCCAGGCAAGGCCGGUCCAUGGUCCAGGAAGCAGAGUUCCCACAGAGGGGUCAGCAGGGGAGAGAGAGAGGGACGGGUCAGUGCUGAAUCUCCGUCAGAAAAGCCUCAGUUACUCCGAGCAGGGGACACACACACACACACACACACACACACACACACUCACGAUGGUCAGACUUUAACCUGUGCCUGCAGGUCUCUUGGUGGAGUGUACCAGGGCAUCAGGGCUUUGGGUUUGCUUCCAAAAUGAGACAGUCAAGCUGACCUUUCAGGGGCUUCAGAUCCAGGGCCCUCAGGGGCUGUGCCCAAGGGCAUCGGGCAGCUAGUGGACCGGCCUGGCGGGACAGGGCUCAAAGCCAGCACUGCUGCGACCUGAACCUUCCUUUGGCCACAGCUUCGGGGACUCUCGGGCCCUUGUGUCUGGAGCCCACGGAACCCAAGCAUCGACUCGUCUUGCUUGGGGUGUCCACAGCAGGCGAGGAAUUCCAGCGGUCUCCGUCUCGGGAGCCAGCAUUUCAGCACUCUCGCACACAGGACAAGCUUCUUGUAGGCUUUCGAUUUGCACUGAAACAAUUGGGUUUUCCAGCUUAUGUAAUGGUUUGUUGAUUGGUUUAUUAAAUCUGGUUAAAGAUUACUCUUUUUUUUUUGUACCGGGGAUUGAACUCGGGUCCUUGAGCUUGUGCAGCAGGUGACGAAACCACUGAGCUAAAUCCCCAGCUCUAAAGAUUAUUCUUAUGUAGGUGUUUCAAAACGAAGAUUGUAGCAAUUUCUAGAAAAAAUUCUGUUUAU